AAGGGGGCCCUGGGCCCCUUUUGUUGGAAAAAAUUUGGUUGAUUAUAUAGGGAAUCACUGAAGCUUGACUGGAACCCCCCCCUUAUGAAAAGUUCCAGAUCCGCCACUGGUUUUGUAGAUAAGUUAGUGUACAGGUCAUAUAUUUAACUUCAAAAUGUCAUUAACGCAAAAUCUCCCCCUAUGCUGUCAAGGCUGAGAGGAAUUUCUCACUCUUUGAGGUUUCAGAUGUUGGAAAGUAUGUAGUAUUUGUUAGUGUUGUUGGUAUGUUGUCACAUUGUGUUCUCUGCAUCUUCUUUUACCUUAAGGAAGCUUGCUCGUCAUGUUUUGGAAUUUUGGUAAGAUUUUCAGAAUCCUCUAGUUUUGUCCAUUUGAAUGCAUUAACAAAUUAAGCCUGGUGACCCC
rnacentral:lncRNA from 1 species